GCCACACCUGUGGCAUGUGAAAGUUCCAGAGUGGUCACUGUUCUCAUAACGUGUAUUUGCAGCAUGCCUACCGUGUGCCAGACACUGGGCUAGGCGCUGAGACUAUAGGGACACGUGGGAUGUGUCCUGCCCACGGCGAGCUCGUGGUCACAGGGCCAAGCAGACAGGCCCACCGCCACUACACAAAUGCAGGUGACCAGGGCCAAAGCCUCCUCUCUCUAUUUCCCAGAGCGAUGCCCUGGAAAUGGGUAAAAGAGAUGCCACUAGAAAAGAGAGGCAUGGAGGCAGCAGGGCUCUGGGGCUGCAGCCCUCAGACGAGGGCAGCUCCACGUGGUGCUGAUUGGGGGCGGGGGGCACAGCCUCAGGGUCAGUCAGAGCAGGUGCCUGGGGAGGCAGAGAGACUUGCUACCCGUCCAGCUCAGCCCCGAUGGCAUUUCCUCCUCCUCUUCUCUCAUGGCGUAAACUCCGCACUGAGAGUCCUGCGUCCCACACAGGCCACCAGCGCCCCUCCAUCCUGUGGCAGCCCCAACCCAGGUUGUGGCUCUGCCUCUGACCAAGCAGGAGGGACCCUUUCCUCCUCCUCUUCUCCCAGCAACUCGGGGUGGGGGGCGGGAGAGGGGCUCUUCUCGAAUCUGGCUGAAAUGUGAGCUCCGUGAGGACAAGGACCUCUGUCUGCUUUGUAAACUGCUGAGAGGCGUGCCUGGACUGUGGCAGGCAUUCCAUCAGCAGUUGCGGCAGGCAUGCGCUGUCAUCCCCACCUGAUGGUUAAGACAAGUGAUGAAUAUUUACCCCGAUUUUACAGCAAGUACAUGGCAAGACCCAAGAUUGAUAGCCAAGACUUUCCAGGUAUGACCUGCCAAGUCACCCAAUCAUUCGACACUAGUAUUUACUGAGCACCUGACAUGGGCAAGAAGAUGUUCUGAGGACGCAGAAGACCCCCGCGAUCAAAACGCUACUGCGGGCCUACUGCUGACCAGGUGCUGAGGGACACAAAGACAUGGCCUCUCUCCAAAGGCUCUCUCCGUAUGUGACACGCACAUGCAUACGCACAUAUGUUCCCACGGAUACACACAUAUACAUAAAUGCAUAUGCAAAUAUAUGCUGUCUGCAUACAUCAUCUAUGCAAAUACCAUGUGUAUGCAAAUAUACACACACAUUCUCUGAAGCUACCACCAGGCAGUUCGGGGGAGCCCAACGAUUAAAAUGGUUAAUAAAUGCAGCUGGAACCACGACGCACUGAGGCUCCAUGGAGGAAGCUGAGGGGGCUCCAAAGAAUCCACAACUUUCAAUCAAGCCAGAAGGUGCAAAGGCCACCAAAGGGGGCAGGAAUGGGAAAAGGAGAUCCAGUCAGGCUCAGGGAACCAUUUGCAGAGAAUUUUGACUGACCCAAGGUUUUUGGCCCUUGUUUAUUUUUACGAAAACUGACACCUCUGCUUUAGACUGUUUGCUAUUCUAGCAGAAGUUGUUUCAUCUGAAGAACAUGUUCCUUUGCAACAAAGAAACAUUUUGUUUUGAAAACCACUGCUCACAUCCAAUGUCCUUACCCUGCAAACGGUCACUGGGCUCGCCGUGGACGCAGAGCAAGCCCGUGGCAGGACGGGAUAUCAGCAGACGUCACAGGGCUGGAUGGGGAGCAGAGGAGAAGGGCUGCUGCCAGGGACUGUGCACUGGCAGGGCCUCGGGGCCCCGACCUGGAAACCCGGGGGUCUCGGGGUCCCUCUCGGCACACGCCCACAACCAGGACGUGGUCUAGGACAGUCGACCCCCUCUGCAGCGGAGAGCUCCCUCCUGCUGGACAGGAUGCAGGGCUCUUGCUGCUGGAAGUCGGGAGUUGGUUGUUGAUUUUUUUCCUGCUUGGCUUGUUUUGACACGAGGAAGAAGCUAAUCCUCCUGGCAAAGGUGGCUCAUACAGCAGGGCAGCAGUCCCCUCCCUGAAGCAGUGGGGGCAGCCGGCUCCAACAGCGAGAAACCGGAUCUCAGAGUCCGGCUGGUCAGCAGCUGACCUCUCUGCUCUGACCUCUGGUGGCUCCUACACACCCCCCGGGGCCGACUUCCCUGAGGCGUACAAGCUCUGGAGGCAGACGGGUUCAAUGUCCACUUCCACCUGUUACUGGCCGAGUGAUUUCAGAAAGAGACCACGUCUCUCUGUGACUCAGUUUCCUCAGCUGUCAAACAAUCCCACAAUUAUUCCAGAGUCACGGGGAGGCUUAAAUGAGCGAAUGCAAAGCAAACACUUAGCACCACACCUGGAACAGAGUAAAUACUUGAUAAAUUUAGCUGUCACUAUUACUUUAUUUUUUGUAGAUAGGCCCUCGUUUUAAAACCCAAUCUCUUAGGUGCCAGGCCAGACCAGACUGGAUGCUACGGUAACCUAUUGGGGGCUCAGUAAAGACUGGUGCCAGAGAUGGCACAGGCACAGUCCUGCAGAGAUCCAAAGCCUCCCUCGGGGUCCUGGCUUCCUUCUCAGCAUCUCAGGGCUAGAGGCAGGUAGGGAGAUACUUCCCGCUUCCCAGCUCUGCCAGGAAAACCUGGGCUCAGAAGCAGGUAAGGACUUUGGCCUCUCCUGCCUCCCGCCCUCUGCCUUGGUUCCUGUGCCUGGUGGUGGGGGCGGGGGGACAGCUGACUGGUACCCAGUCAGAGGAUGCAUGUUCACACGUUCUGGGAUCCUCCAUUUAUGUCCGGGGGGAAGGCUCCAGGCAUCUUCCUUGAGAUAAACAGCCUCCAGGCCUCCUGGGUUUAGAGGAGUUAGCUGGAUGUUAUCAUUGAAAACCACUUCUGAAUAUUUCCUUGCAAUCUGGGGCCAGCCUUGUGGGUGUAUAUAAGAAGGUACCAAACUGCUUUUUCAGAGGGGGCACUGGAUGAGAACACGGCCUUUCGUCUGGCCCCAAGGCAGAGCAGUGGCAGCUCAGCAUUGGCGUGGAAGCUGCUGGGACGAAGAUGGCAGACGCGGUGUCUGCAUCCUCAGUCUUCAGCCCAACAUCUCCCCAGGUUCUGCAGGAAGGAAGGUCUGAAGGACUCAGGUGAGUCUAAGGACAGCCCCGGUCCAAGUCUUACUUUUUAGAUCUCAACCUGUUUGUCCUCACGCUCCAGUAUCUAGUGCCAGGCAUUGAGGUGCCUUGUUAGCACAGCAGGUAGCGUGUCAGUCUCAGAGUGCCAGGCAUGGCUCUCCGCUGGAGCUCAGUGACCAGCAAUUACACAAAACUGAGGAAGAGCUGCACUCCCAUUUGAGCCAGGUGUGUCUGGCACACGCAAGUCUUUACACAUACCAGUGUCCAUGAUAAAACAUAUGCCCCUGUGCUCACAGGGUAGCGGGGUGGCCCUAGGGAUGGGUGGACAGUAAUCACACACACGACUGCAAAGCGACGCUAGACGGAGGGCUUCGAUGUGGUUCACUCGAGCUUCCCCUGGCCACCUCUCAGUCAACCACAUCUUCCGCCUUCCCCGCACGUCCUCUGCCUCCUGGACCCGGCUUCCUUGCCGUCCGCAGGCGCGCCCCCAUUCUUUCCACCAAGCUCUUUUUCUCACUGCUCAUCCAUGUGGGGUGCCCGUCCCUCUUCUCUGCACUGUUUCAUAUUCAGACCCCAACCAUAUUUCAAGGCCCCGCUCAAGUUUAAGACGUCCACGGAGUCUGUGCUUCAUGCAUCCUUCUCUGUUGCUGCUGCUGCUGCACCUGCUGCAAGUCCUAGUGCCUCACCCAGAGCCUGGCACUGAACAGCUCUGGCUGGAGUCCUCACUGUGGCACAACAGAAACGAAUCUGACUAGUAUCCAUGAGGACGCAGGUUCGAUCCACGGCCUUGCUCAGUGGGUUAAGGAUCCGGUGUUGCCAUGAGCUGUAGUGUAGGUCGCAGACAUGGCUUGGAUCUGGUGUG
ensembl:lncRNA